GGAAUAUUGGGCAAUGGAGGGAACUCUGACCCAGCCAUGCCGCGUGAGUGAAGAAGGUUUUCGGAUUGUAAAGCUCUUUCGGACGGGAAUAUGAUGACGGUACCGUCUAAAGAAGCACCGGCUAACUUCGUGCCAGCAGCCGCGGUAAUACGAAGGGUGCAAGCGUUGUUCGGAAUUACUGGGCGUAAAGGGUGUGUAGGCGGUCAUGUAAGAUAGCGGUGAAAUCCCGGGGCUCAACCUCGGAAUUGCCAUUAUAACUAUGUGACUAGAAUGACAGAGAGGAUAUUGGAAUACCCAGUGUAGAGGUGAAAUUCGUAGAUAUUGGGUAGAACACCGGAGGCGAAGGCGAGUAUCUGGCUGUAAAUUGACGCUGAGGCACGAAAGCAUGGGGAUCAAACA
rnacentral:rRNA from 1 species